GACGAACGCUGGCGGCGUGCCUAACACAUGCAAGUCGAACGGGGUAAUUACUUCGGUGAUUACUUAGUGGCGAACGGGUGAGUAACGCGUGAGAAACCUGCCUUUCAGUGGGGGACAACAGUUGGAAACGACUGCUAAUACCGCAUAAUGUUAUUUGAGGGCAUCCUCGAAUAACCAAAGCUUAAUGUGCUGAAAGAUGGUCUCGCGUCUGAUUAGCUAGAUGGCGGGGUAACGGCCCACCAUGGCGACGAUCAGUAGCCGGUCUGAGAGGAUGAACGGCCACAUUGGGACUGAGAUACGGCCCAGACUCCUACGGGAGGCAGCGGUGGGGAAUAUUGGGCAAUGGGGGAAACCCUGACCCAGCAACGCCGCGUGAAGGAAGAAGGCCUUCGGGUUGUAAACUUCUUUUACCAGGGACGAAGAACGUGACGGUACCUGGAGAAAAAGCAACGGCUAACUACGUGCCAGCAGCCGCCGUAAGAC
rnacentral:rRNA from 1 species